CCAGCGCUGGGCCAGUGCAGGCCGAGCCCUGCGUCCCUGCCUCGCUGGGUGGGGGUCCGGGGCGCGGCUGUCCACAGGGCCGCCUCCUCCUGCGGCCCGCGGGGAAGGGGCGCAUCCCACCCCGCUCUGCAGGCCGCCCUUCUGCCAGCUGGGAGGCGAGGGCACACGUCCUAAGGCUGCCCAAGGGGGAGAGGAAUCGCGCCGGCCCCUUUGUGUGACUAAAUUUGGCAAGAAUAUGGAUCUGAGCCAGUCUUUCCACGUGUGCUCCCAGCUCCCAGCUGAGAAGGCCAAGGGUUCUCUUCCGGUGCUCCAGGAAAGUACCUGAUUGACAAGAUCUACAUCCAAUGCCCAGAAAACACAUCCUACACAGGCACAGUGAAGCGUGGAGUUGAAGAAUUUUCCAUAACUUCCAACUCCAAAUGUGUUGUUACAAAAAAAAAAGGCAGAGCAAAGGAGUCUUAAAAAGAGGA
rnacentral:lncRNA from 1 species